rnacentral:rRNA from 1 species
UACAUGGGGUGCAAACGUUUGCUCGGAAUUAUUGGGCGUAAAGCGCACGUAGGCGGUUCGUUAAGUCGGAUGUGAAAGCCCUCGGCUCAACUGAGGAAGUGCACCCGAAACUGGCGAGCUUGAGUACGAAAGAGGAUCGCGGAAUUCCCGGUGUAGAGGUGAAAUUCGUAGAUAUCGGGAGGAACACCGGUGGCGAAGGCGGCGAUCUGGGUCGAUACUGACGCGUGAGG